CGGAUUAGCUCCUUGGCGUAUAUUAAAGUUGUUGCGGUUAAAAAAGCUCCGUAGUUGGAUCUGUGUAUCGGACGGCCGGUUCGCCGCUCGCGGCGUUCAACUGGUCGGUCCGGACGUCCUGCCGGUGGGCGUCUCCGCGAGGAGGCGUCCGUAGCUCCCUCCGGGCUGCUCUUAACCGGGUGGCUCGGUGGGCCGGCACGUUUACUUUGAACAAAUUUGAGUGCUCAAAGCAGGCCUUUGGUCGCCUGAAAACUGUGUGCAUGGAAUAAUGGAAUAGGGCCUCGGUUCUAUUUUGUUGGCUUUUCUGAACUCGAGGCAAUGAUUAAUAGGGACAGACGGGGGCAUUCGUAUUGCGGCGUUAGAGGUGAAAUUCUUGGAUCGCCGCAAGACGAACGGAUGCGAAAGCGUUUGCCAAGAAUGUUUUCGCUAAUCAAGAACGAAAGUUAGAGGUUCGAAGGCGAUCAGAUACCGCCCUAGUUCUAACCAUAAACGAUGCCAGCCAGCGAUGCGCCGAAGUUCCUCCGAUGACUCGGCGCGCAGCUUCCGGGAAACCAAAGCUUUUGGGUUCCGGGGGAAGUA
rnacentral:rRNA from 1 species